rnacentral:rRNA from 1 species
CCUACGGGUGGCAGCAGUGAGGAAUAUUGGUCAAUGGGCGGGAGCCUGAACCAGCAAAGCCGCGUGAGGGAAGAAGGUACAGCGUAUCGUAAACCUCUUUUGUCAGGGAACAAAGGCGGGGACUAGUCCCCGGAUGAGGGUACCUGAAGAAAAAGCAUCGGCGAACUCCGGGCCAGCAGCCGCGGUAAUACGGGGGAUGCAAGCGUUAUCCGGAGUUAUUGGGUUUAAAGGGUGCGUAGGGGGGGAGGUAAGUCAGCGGGGAAAUGCCCCCGCGCAACGGGGUGGAGGGCCAUUGAUACUGGCGUGCUGGAAUGCGGAUGCGGUGGGAGGAAUGUGUGGUGUAGCGGUGAAAUGCAUAGAUAUCACACAGAACACCGAUUGCGAAGGCAUCUCACGAAUCCGCGAUUGACGCUGAUGCACGAAAGCGUGGGUAUCAAACAGGAUUAGAUACCCGUGUAGUC